rnacentral:rRNA from 1 species
UACGUAGGGGGCAAGCGUUGUUCGGAAUUACUGGGCGUAAAGGGCGCGUAGGCGGCACGGCAAGUCAGGAGUGAAAGCCCGGGGCUCAACCCCGGAAUGUCUUUUGAAACUGCCGAGCUAGAGUGCGGAAGAGGCAACUGGAAUUCCCAGUGUAGCGGUGAAAUGCGUAGAUAUUGGGAAGAACACCUGAGGCGAAGGCGGGUUGCUGGGCCGACACUGA